GAUGAACGCUGGCGGCGUGCCUAAUACAUGCAAGUCGAGCGAACAGACGAGGAGCUUGCUCCCCUGACGUUAGCGGCGGACGGGCGAGUAACACGUGGAUAACCUACCUAUAAUACUGGGAUAACUUCGGGAAACCGGUUCUAAUACCGGCUCAUAUGUUGAACCGCAUGGUUCAAUGGUUCUACACGGCUUUCGCGUCACUUAUAGAUGGAGCCGCGGCGCAUUGGCUAGGUGGUAAGGUCACGGCCUGCCAAGGCGACGAUGCGGAGCCGACCGGAGAGGAUGAUCAGCCACCCUGGAACUGAGAAACGGUCCAGACUCCUACGGGAGGCAGCAGUGGGGAAUAUUGCGCAAUGGGCGGAAGCCUGAUCGAGCCAUACCGCGUGGGUGAAGAAGGCCUUCGGGUUGUAAAGCCCUUUUGUUGGGAGAGAAAAAAAGCUGGUUAAAACCACGCUGUUCUGAAGGUACCCAAAGAAUAAGCCCCGGCUAACUUCGUG
rnacentral:rRNA from 1 species